GCCGGCGUGGCUCAAUCGGCAGAGCACCUGAUUUGUAAUCAGGGGGUUGUGGGUUCGACUCCCAUCGCCGGCUCCA
rnacentral:tRNA from 1 species